AUACGUAGGGUGCAAGCGUUAAUCGGAAUUACUGGGCGUAAAGCGUGCGCAGGCGGUUCGGAAAGAAGGAUGUGAAAUCCCAGGGCUCAACCUUGGAACUGCAUUCUUAACUACCGAACUAGAGUAUGUCAGAGGGGGGUAGAAUUCCGCGUGUAGCAGUGAAAUGCGUAGAUAUGCGGAGGAAUACCGAUGGCGAAGGCAGCCCCCUGGGAUAAUACUGACGCUCAUGCACGAAAGCGUGGGUAGCAAACAGGAUUAGAUACCCUGGUAGUCCACGCCCUAAACGAUGUCAACUAGCUGUUGGGCCCUUCGGGGCUUAGUAGCGUAGCUAACGCGUGAAGUUGACCGCCUGGGGAGUACGGUCGCAAGAUUAAAACUCAAAUGAAUCGACGGGG
rnacentral:rRNA from 1 species